GACGAACGCUGGCGGCGCGCUUAACACAUGCAAGUCGAGCGAGAACCAGGACUUCGGUCCUGGGGACAGCGGCGAACGGGUGAGUAACACGUGGGUAAUCUGCCCUCGGUUCCGGAAUAGCCCGGGGAAACCCGGAUUAAUGCCGGAUAGCCUCUCGAGCUCUCGAGCUCGUGAGAAAAGGUAGCUUCGGCCUCCGACCGAGGAUGAGCCCGCGGCGGAUUAGCUUGUUGGUGGGGUAACGGCCUACCAAGGCGACGAUCCGUAGCUGGUCUGAGAGGACGAUCAGCCACACUGGGACUGAGACACGGCCCAGACUCCUACGGGAGGCAGCAGUGGAGAAUCUUGCGCAAUGGGCGAAAGCCUGACGCAGCGACGCCGCGUGGGGGAAGAAGGCCUUCGGGUUGUAAACCUCUUUCAGGAGGGACGAAGCCACUCGGGUGAAUAGCCCAGAGGGUGACGGUACCUCCAGAAGAAGCCCCGGCUAACUACGUGCCAGCCGCCGCAGUAAAAC
rnacentral:rRNA from 1 species